GACGAACGCUGGCGGCGUGCCUAAUACAUGCAAGUAGAACGCUGAAGGAGGAGCUUGCUUCUCUGGAUGAGUUGCGAACGGGUGAGUAACGCGUAGGUAACCUGCCUGGUAGCGGGGGAUAACUAUUGGAAACGAUAGCUAAUACCGCAUAAUAGCAGUUAUUGCAUGAUAACUGUUUGAAAGGUGCAAUUGCACCACUACCAGAUGGACCUGCGUUGUAUUAGCUAGUUGGUGGGGUAACGGCUCACCAAGGCGACGAUACAUAGCCGACCUGAGAGGGUGAUCGGCCACACUGGGACUGGGACACGGCCCAGACUCCUACGGGAGGCAGCAGUAGGGAAUCUUCGGCAAUGGACGGAAGUCUGACCGAGCAACGCCGCGUGAGUGAAGAAGGGUUUCGGAUCGUAAAGCUCUGUUGUAAGAGAAGAACGAGUGUGAGAGUGGAAAGUUCACACUGUGACGGUAUCUUACCAGAAAGGGACGGCUAACUACGUG
rnacentral:rRNA from 1 species